rnacentral:rRNA from 1 species
GAUGAACGCUCGCUACAGGCUUAACACAUGCAAGUCGCGGGGCAGCAUGGGGGUUGCUUGCAAUCCCCGAUGGCGACCGGCGCACGGGUGAGUAACGCGUAUCCAACCUGCCCUUCACCACGGGAUAACCCGGCGAAAGUCGGACUAAUACCGUAUGUUGUCCAUUGACGGCAUCCGAUUUGGACGAAAGGUUUGGCGGUGAAGGAUGGGGAUGCGUCCGAUUAGCUGGACGGCGGGGUGACGGCCCACCGUGGCGACGAUCGGUAGGGGUUCUGAGAGGAAGGCCCCCCACACUGGAACCGAGACACGGUCCAGACUCCUACGGGAGGCAGCAGUGAGGAAUACUGGUCAAUGGGCGUAAGCCUGAACCAGCCAAGUAGCGUGCAGGAUGACGGCCCUAUGGGUUGUAAACUGCUUUUAUGCGGGGAUAAAGUGGCCCAAGUGUGGGUUUUUGCAGGUACCGCAUGAAUAAGGACCGGCUAAUUCCGUG